rnacentral:misc_RNA from 1 species
GACCAGCACGGCCAGUGGCGACCACCGGCGCACGAGGAACACACCGCCGAGGGCGACCCCGAGCAGGUACGCGAUCACGUUAGGCUCGCGCGCGCCGUCCUCGGAGGCGGCGGAGAUGGAGGCGACCAUCGCGACGGCGACGGCGCCGGCGAGCAGGCCGUCGCGCCCCCAUGCGGGGAGCCGUUCGAUGUGGUGGGAGAUGCGCAUUCCGUGGUUA